UCGGCCCAUGUUGAGGACUCCAAGACCCCCUUCCAGCCCUAACAGCUUUCAUUUGUCUCCUUUUUUAAAAUCAGUUUCAUCCCCUUCUUCCAACUCUUGAGCAGCAACUCUGCUAGACACCAGUUUUGCCUCCCUGAACUAGUGAAUUAUCCUUAUUCGGAAUUGUCUGAACUCAUAUCUCCAUCUUCUUAAGGUACUGUUGUGCUGUAGUGAGCCUUGUUAGAGCUUUCUUAAGCUACAGUCUUCUUUUCCAGAUGUGGAAACUCCUGGUGGUCAUUCAGGUGAUGGAGAUGCAGCUAGUCUAGGCUUGGUCUUGUUGUUUUCAUGCUUUUUGUCACUUGGGAGACAAUUGUGUAUUGUUACUUUGUAAAUCCCCUGCUCUAAGAGAAACCUUUUGGACAACUGUUUCAUUUUAAUUUUGU